CUUAUUGACUUUUUAUAAUAAGUUUUUUCUGCCCGGUGGUGUUUUUUAACGGCCGCGGUAUUUUGACCGUGCAAAGGUAGCAUAAUCAUUUGUCCUUUAAUUGGGGGCUAGAAUGAAAGAAAGUUUGAAGCUUUUUCUGUCUCUUUUUUAUUUUUGUAAUUUGCUGUUCUUGUGAAGAAGCAAGAGUUGUUAAAAAAGACAAGAAGACCCUAUUAAGCUUUAUUUUUUUGUUUUUAUUCGUUUGAAUAUAAAAACAAAAAGAUUUGGUUGGGGUGACUAAAGAAGAAAAAUUUAUCUUCUUUUUUUAAAAAUAACUAUUUGUUUAACAGAGANCCAAAAUUUUUUGGUUGUAAGAAUUAGUUACUAUAGGGAUAACAGCGUUAUCUUUUCAUAAAGUUCUUAUUGAAGAAAAGGAUUGCGACCUCGAUGUUGACNNAUUUUAUCCNNUUAAGGUGUAGAAGCUNNAANNNNNNNNCUGUUCGACUAUUAAAAAAG
rnacentral:rRNA from 1 species